rnacentral:rRNA from 1 species
GACGAACGCUGGCGGCGUGCUUAACACAUGCAAGUCGAACGGAAAGGCCCUUCGGGGUACUCGAGUGGCGAACGGGUGAGUAACACGUGGGUGAUCUGCCCUGCACUUCGGGAUAAGCCUGGGAAACUGGGUCUAAUACCGGAUAUGACCUCGGGAUGCAUGUCUUGUGGUGGAAAGCUUUUGCGGUGUGGGAUGGGCCCGCGGCCUAUCAGCUUGUUGGUGGGGUUAAGGCCUACCAAGGCGACGACGGGUAGCCGGCCUGAGAGGGUGACCGGCCACACUGGGACUGAGAUACGGCCCAGACUCCUACGGGAGGCAGCAGUGGGGAAUAUUGCACAAUGGGCGCAAGCCUGAUGCAGCGACGCCGCGUGAGGGACGACGGCCUUCGGGUUGUAAACCUCUUUCAGCACAGACGAAGCGCAA